rnacentral:rRNA from 1 species
GACGAACGCUGGCGGCGUGCUUAACACAUGCAAGUCGAACGAAGAGGGGAACGGGUGAGUAAUACGUGGGUAAAAUGCCCUCAUGUAGGGGGUAAGCCUUGGAAACGGGGACUAAUACCGAAUAAAGGAGGAUGGGCGCGCGGCCUAUCAGCGUGGUGGGGGGGUGAUGGCCUACGAAGGCGGUGACGGGUAGCCGGACUGAGAGGGUGACCUGCCACAGUGGGACUGAGCGAAGUCCCAGACGCGUAAGGGAGGGAGAAGUGGGGGAGAUUGGACAAUGGGCGAAAGCCUGAUGCAGCGACGACGCGUGGGGGAUGAAGGCUGUCGGGUUGUAAACCUCUUGCGGUAUCGAACGGGUAGGUGGAGAAGAAGCGCCGGCUAACUACGUGCCAGCAGCCGCGGUAAUAC